GUGAAUAGAAACAAAACUGGAAGUUUCAUUAUUUUAUCUCUAGAUUAUCUAUAGCUUAUUAUUGAAGGUUUAUUUCUUCUAUUAAUUACACGGCAAUAUUUUUCCUUUAUGCUGACAACACACAAAUUUACGUAAAGUUUAAUGGUUUAAAGAAAAAAGCCGUUAAAGUGAACGUGUGUGAAUAGUGAUUUUAGACCUUGCGAAAAGUUUUGCUCAAUAUUGAGUUCUUUGAAGAUUUCACCUAGCGAAUUGAUUUAUUUGGAAAGAUACAUUUCUAAUCUUUUAGUAUUACAAAGGUACACUACAUCGUAUUGCGUUCGCCAUG
rnacentral:misc_RNA from 1 species